UCUUCUCGUGAACCCUCUCUGCUAGGGUUUCGUCUGGCGUCUCUCUCGAACUGCCUCUACUACAGUCUACCAGCGCGAGGAAGAUGACCGGAGCUACGGCUGGUGAGCACCUGCAGCUCUCGAACCCACUCUGCUACCACUGCAAGGAGGAUGGUUGGAGCAGCGGCCGGCGAGGACCAAUGACUCUGGAAUCCUCUCUGCUGGGGUUUGUAUCGCUGCAAGGAGGAUGACAGAAGCUACGUUCGGUGAGCACCAGCGACUCUCGAACACUCUCUAUUGGGGCUUGGGUCGCUGCGAGGUGGACGACAGAAGCUGCGGCCAGUGAGCACCAGCGACUCUGCUAUUUGACAAGUGUCGUCAACGUAGAAUGGGGAGAGGAGUAGUAGUCGAACUUCGGUCGGCGCUUUGUUUAAGAGUAUCAGUGACGGAGGGCAGCCAGAUCUGAAGGGUAGUGACAGAGGGCUAUCUCAAGUCGCCGGAAGCCACAACUGUUGUUGGACAGAGGAGGGUUUCUGGUCUACGGCGCCUUAGACUAGAAACCUUCGAGAGUAGCAGAAACCCCCUUCUCCUGGGAGAUAGAACUCGAGUCUGGCAGCCUACCUGCACAUCUGCAAGAAAGAAGAACAACAACUUCUGUACGAGUUUCCGGAAAAGAGGCAGUGGCGACCACUCAGAAUGGCGCCUUUGAGCAGUUCUGUGUCUCGUGUGCAAGUUCACCAACGGAGACUCCAGGAUUAGCGCACGAACGGUAGAAGCACCGAAACAGCAGGUAGUAGUUGCAGCUGAAACAGGAAAAAAAAGAAGAGAAACAGAGACAGAAGCAAGGUGAUAACCGUGGUUUACUUCUAUGAGGCUCGAGCAAGGAUAAUCCAAAAGAUUCAUCUUCAUCGAGUAGUGCUGGGCUUAAAUAACCAGCCUUAUAGGUUUUCUGCAUGCCUAGCUCACGGUUGCAGCCAAUGAGAGGUUUUGAGAGAAACAGUUACGAGAUGAAGGGAUAGGGAUCAUGGCCAAUAUCCAACACACGGAAGCAAUAUAUCUUCACAAGAAGGGAAGAAGAAGAAGAACAGAACAUAUUUUCGUGGUUGUCUUAGAUCACACCUCUGUUUUAUUAUUUCCUAUUGCUGAAGCUUCUUCUAAUGUUGAGGAAAUCAAGCAAGGAAAUUAGUUUCA